UAAGGAAUAUUGGGCAAUGGGCGCAAGCCUGACCCAGCCAUGCCGCGUGCAGGAUGACUGCCCUAUGGGUUGUAAACUGCUUUUAUACGGGAAAAAGCCCUCGAACGUGUUCGGGGCUGAUGGUACCGUAAGAAUAAGGAUCGGCUAACUCCGUGCCAGCAGCCGCGGUAAUACGGAGGAUCCAAGCGUUAUCCGGAUUUAUUGGGUUUAAAGGGUGCGUAGGCGGAAUGGUAAGUCAGCGGUGAAAUCUCCCAGCUUAACUGGGAAACUGCCGUUGAUACUGCCAAUCUUGAGUACGGUUGAAGUGGGCGGAAUGUAGCAUGUAGCGGUGAAAUGCUUAGAUAUGCUACAGAACACCGAUUGCGAAGGCAGCUCACUAAGCCGCAACUGACGCUGAGGCACGAAAGCGUGGGGAGCAAACA
rnacentral:rRNA from 1 species